UACGUAGGGGGCAAGCGUUGUCCGGAUUUAUUGGGCGUAAAGCGCGUGUAGGCGGCCUGACAGGUCUGCUGUGAAAACUCGAGGCUCAACCUCGAGAUGUCGGCGGAAACCGUCUGGCUAGAGUCCGGAAGAGGAGAGUGGAAUUCCUGGUGUAGCGGUGAAAUGCGCAGAUAUCAGGAAGAACACCGAUGGCGAAGGCAGCUCUCUGGGACGGUACUGACACUGAGACGCGAAAGCGUGGGGAGCGAACAGG
rnacentral:rRNA from 1 species